AUCUAGCUGACGAGUCCAAAAUAGGACUAAACGUACGUCCUCCAU
rfam:Schistosoma haematobium scaffold422_17, whole genome shotgun sequence.